rnacentral:rRNA from 1 species
GGACAAUCUGCCCUGAAGAAGAGAAUAAUCCCGGGAAACUGGGGGUAAUGCUCUAUAGUCCGGGAGGACUGGAAUGUUCUCCGGAUGAAAGAUCCGUCGCUUCAGGAUGAGUCUGCGGCCGAUUAGGUAGUUGUUGGGGUAAAAGCCCAACAAGCCUGUAAUCGGUACGGGUUGUGGGAGCAAGAGCCCGGAGAUGGAUUCUGAGACACGAAUCCAGGCCCUACGGGGCGCAGCAGGCGCGAAAACUUUACAAUGCGGGCAACCGUGAUAAGGAAACCCCGAGUGCCAGCACAGGCUGGCUGUCCACCAGUGUAAACAACUGGUGAAGAAAGGGCCGGGCAAGACCGGUGCCAGCCGCCGCGGUAAUACCGGCGGCUCGAGUGGUGGCCGCUUUUACUGGGCUUAAAGGGUCCGUAGCUUGAUCCAUGGGUCCCUUGAGAAAUCCAUCAGCUUAACUGCUGGGCGUUCAGGGGAAACUGUGGUUCUAGGGACCGGGAGAGGUAAGAGGUACUGCCGGGGUAGGAGUGAAAUCCUGUAAUCCCGGUGGGACGACCUAUAGCGAAGGCAUCUUACCAGAACGGCUCCGACAGUGAGGGACGAAAGCUGGGGGAGCAAACCGGAUUAGAUACCCGGGUAGUCCCAGCUGUAAACGAUGCGCGUUAGGUGUGUCAGUGACCACGUGUCACUGAUGUGCCGAAUGGAAACCGUGAAACGCGCCGCCUGGGAGUACGGUCGCAAGGCUGAAACUUAUACGAAUUGGCGGGGAGCACCACAACGAGUGCAGCCUGCUGUUUAAUCGGACUCA